AACGAACGCUGGCGGCGUGCCUAACACAUGCAAGUCGAACGAGAAAGGGGCUUCGGCUCCGAGUAAAGUGGCGCACGGGUGAGUAACACGUGGGUAACCUGCCUCUAAGAUUGGGAUAACUCGUCGAAAGAUGAGCUAAUACCGAAUAAGACCACAGUUCCCGCGGGAACAGGGGUCAAAGGUAGCCUCUGCUUGCAAGCUAUCACUUAGAGAUGGGCCUGCGCACCAUUAGCUAGUUGGUAGGGUAACGGCCUACCAAGGCAAAGAUGGUUAGCUGGUCUGAGAGGAUGAUCAGCCACACUGGAACUGAGACACGGUCCAGACUCCUACGGGAGGCAGCAGUGGGGAAUAUUGCGCAAUGGGCGAAAGCUUGACGCAGCAACGCCGCGUGAGUGAUGAAGGCCUUCGGGUCGUAAAGCCCUGUCGGGAGGAACGAAUGCUCCUGAGGUUAACAGCCUCGGGAGGUGACGGUACCUUCAAAGGAAGCACCGGCUAACUCUGUG
rnacentral:rRNA from 1 species